GGAGGGUGCAAGCGUUAUCCGGAAUUAUUGGGUUUAAAGGGUGCGUAGGCGGGAUGAUAAGUCAGUGGUGAAAUCUUACAGCUUAACUGUAAAACUGCCAUUGAUACUAUCAUUCUUGAAUACAAUUGAAGUGGGCGGAAUGUGUCAUGUAGCGGUGAAAUGCUUAGAUAUGACACAGAACACCGAUUGCGAAGGCAGCUCACUAAGUUGUUAUUGACGCUGAGGCACGAAAGCGUGGGGAGCGAACAGGAUUAGAUACCCUGGUAGUCCCACGCCCGUAAACGAUGAUCACUCGGUAUUGGCGAUACACUGUCAGUGCCCCAAGCGAAAGUUUUAAGUGAUCCACCUGGGAAGUACGUCGGCAACGAUG
rnacentral:rRNA from 1 species